GUAUAAUAGAAUAUAUGAAACUGCAAAUGGAUUUUCGCCCGCCAUGCGGUAAUCCACCUAGACAGAUCAUUUCCAUAAUUUAAUAAGGAAUGAAUACAAAUGAUCAUUCACCAUGCAUUCGAUAAUCCACAUAGACAGGUUAUUCCAACAGAAUAAUAAAGAAUGGAACUAGGUCAUGCGUAAUCCGCACAUACAUGAUAUUCCAACAGAAUAAUAAAGAAUGGAACCAGGUCAUGC
rnacentral:lncRNA from 1 species